UCCAGCAUCAUGGAUCAGUGUGAGGACAGAGAGGAGGGAGUCCCUCCCUCUAAAACCACUCAAAGGAACAAACCUGGACCUGAAACCAGCCCUGAAUCAGGACCUGAGCCCAGCUGUGUGUCCAUGAAGAGUGACCAGGAAGCUUUCAUCAUGUUUGACUCAGAGAAACAGGGAGUGGACCAGCAGAGCUCAGAGCUUCCCAGUGGUCAGUCUGCCCAGCAGCAUCAAAC